AACGAACGCUGGCGGCAUGCCUAACACAUGCAAGUCGAACGAUGCCUUCGGGCAUAGUGGCGCACGGGUGCGUAACGCGUGGGAAUCUGCCUUUCGGUUCGGAAUAACUCAGGGAAACUUGAGCUAAUACCGGAUAACGUCGCAAGACCAAAGAUUUAUCACCGAAAGAUGAGCCCGCGUAGGAUUAGCUAGUUGGUGAGGUAAAGGCUCACCACGGCGACGAUCCUUAGCUGGUCUGAGAGGAUGAUCGGCCACACUGGGACUGAGACACGGCCCAGACUCCUACGGGAGGCAGCAGUGGGGAAUAUUGGACAAUGGGCGAAAGCCUGAUCCAGCAAUGCCGCGUGAGUGAUGAAGGCCUUAGGGUUGUAAAGCUCUUUUACCCGGGAAGAUAAUGACGGUACCGGGAGAAUAAGCCCCGGCUAACUCCGUG
rnacentral:rRNA from 1 species